UACAGAGGGUGCGAGCGUUAAUCGGAAUUACUGGGCGUAAAGCGUGCGUAGACGGUCAAGUAAGUCGGGUGUGAAAGCCCCGGGCUCAACCUGGGAAUUGCAUUCGAGACUGCGUGGCUAGGGUGCGGAAGAGGGAAGCGGAAUUUCCGGUGUAGCGGUGAAAUGCGUAGAUAUCGGAAGGAACACCAGUGGCGAAAGCGGCUUCCUGGUCCAGCACCGACGUCAGGCACGAAAGCGUGGGGGCAAACAGGG
rnacentral:rRNA from 1 species